GACAAUACUUGGUUUCCUUUUGACCAAGUCGUUUUAGUGGAACGCAUCAAGGAAAGGUGAUUCUUGGGCAAGGGGACAUUAUGGAAGCAGCUUUGCCAUUGAUGACCCAAUAAAGGAUCUUUAAAAGGAAGUGUGUGCGAGUGUCUGUAGGUCACAAAUUCUGUGACAGUGCUUUGUUUUCUUGGGACCAAGCCUAUUCAGUAAAAUGCGUCAAGGAAAGGUGAUUAUUUGGCAAGGAGACACUAUGGAAGCAGCUUUGUCACUGAUGACCCAAUAAAGCAUCUUCAGAAGGAAGAGAUAUUUGGUUAGUUAUCCAUCUUAUCCACGCCACCCAACAUAAUGGCAGCCACUAUGUCAGACUUCACAAUAUUCGAAUGAGCUGUUAACGGUUUCUUAGCUCAGGAGAUAUUGGGAGUCAUGUUCUUUGUCUGGCUGCAAUGUAUGAAGUAGUACUUGCUCGUUAAUUGUUGGCUGUAGGCUUUAUUAGAAAGAAUCUUGACUAAACAACCUUAGUUCUGGCUGCAGUGUGUGAGUGUCUGUAGAUCACAAAUGUUCUCCGAUAACAAUGCUGUGUUUCCUUCUGAUCAAUCCGUUUCAGUGAAACGCAUCAGUGGGGUGAUUUUUGGGCAAGGCACACUAUAGAAGCGUCUAUUACACUGAUGACACAAUAAAGGAUCUUCGUAAGGAAGAGAUUUGUGGUGCAGAACACUAGCUCAGCAGAGUGCAAUCUCCUCCUGUAAGCAUAUUCCGUGUUUGUAUAUUUGCACAUCUGAUUGGUUCCCAAUGCUGCCCCACCCUCCCCUAAUCUCAAGUUCUACUGUACAGUGGUCUACAAGAUAGUAAAAUAAAGUCAAAUUCCAUCACUAGUUGUAUUUAAAAAUUAAUUUAAUUGUUUUUAAUGAGUAUCUGUUAGGAGCUCAGCUUUAAAGAUGUUAAAGCGGAUCCCUGGGAAUUAUAUUGAUUGCCAUCCUCCAUUGUGGUGGUCCAACAGUGGUGUACCAUUGUGGUAGCCCAACUGAGGUGUACCAUUGUGGUGGUCCAACAGUGGUGUACCAUUAUGGUGGCUCACCAGUGGUGUGCCAUUGUGGUCGCCCAACAGUAUUGUACGAUUGUGGUGGUCCAAUAGUGGUGUACCAUUGUAGUGGCCCAAAUGAGGUGUACCAUUGUGGUGGCCCAACAGAGAUGGAACCAUAGUGGUGGCCAAACAAGAGGUGUACCAUUGUGGUGGCCAAACAAUAGGUGUACCAUUGUGGUGGCCAAACAGAGUUGUCUGAAUGUGGUGGCUCAAUAGUGGUGUACCAUUGUGGUAGCCAAACAAAGGUGUACCAUUGUGGUGGCCAUUUUCUAUUAUCUGGCUCUAUAUGGUUUAUCAUUUGCCUACCAGGCUCUUGUCAUUUCUAUUUGCUGGGCGUGCUUAGGUGGAAGGUGGAAAAGAAGGUGUGGCCUAAUUCUCAAUUUUUUCUCCAUAACAAAUACAUUUGUCACCUUGAUGAUGUACAAUAAUGUUACCUCUGUGUUAUUGAAUUUGUUUAAGCUGUGUUACUCUACUGACGUAUUCACUGCCAGAAAGUUUUACAACAAUUUGUAACAUAGUGAUACUAUAAGAUAAAAUAUCGUAGAAAAGUCUUUUUUGAGGAACUUAACAAUUCACCUUCAAAUCCCAAUGACAAAAACAUUUUUUGUAAAUAGUCGUUCUACUAACUCUGACACAGACCAACCUUUUAUUUCUAAAUAAAGUAUCAGUUUAGAAGAGACAUGUAUAUUGACUGUACUAAUUUUGAAAAGCGGAUGUUCUCGUCGUUUACUGUAUAUAUAAAUUUUUUAUACUGUAUCUAUGAAGUGACACUUUUUUCGCAACUGUAAUGUAAUGUGUUACAUAUCUUGCAUUGUUUUGGCUAUAACCGUUAAACGAUGAUCAGUAAGGAACAUAAGGAGACCCUGUCACCUACAGUGGAGGAAAUUAUAUUGAACCUCAUUUAAUAAAGUUCUUGAGGAGAGAGUUGGCCGAGUGUGUUGCCCGAGCUAACCAAAUUCUCUGUUUCCUUCUCAUACUACAGUAUGGAAUAAUGAGAAGAACAAUUUGGUUGAAGGCUAUGAUAACAUGGACUGUUGUGUCGUUCUUUACUCAGUCAUCUUCCUGAGGCCUAGUGUUGUUUGAACCAAUAUCAAUGAAAUGAUCUCCUCUCAUUACAUUGGGGACUUGCCAUUGAAGCCAAUGGCACUUUGUGAUGCCUCGGUGGUGUCAGUACUUCAUAUUUUUCCUCACAGAUGUCAUUAGUUUCUAGUGAACUGAACAAUGUAGUUUAAGACACAAAGGGCCUCUGGUAUGAAAGUUUUCUAAAGGAGGACAUAUCUGUAUUGUUAGUAGCAACCAGAUUCUCCCCUUUGUAACCUGGGAUGGAUGCAAUUAAGUUGAUGGUUUCCAGGGAAAUGUAGACCAAGGACUAGCAGAAGCUAAUUUUGUUUGAUGGCUCAGUUAUGGCAGGUGGAGGUCAAAAGCACUCGUAACCAGUGAGACACACUAUAUGGCCAAACGUUUGUGGACCCCUGAAUACCUUCACACCUAUAUGUCCUUGUGGGACAUCCUAUUCCAAAACUAUAGGCAUAUGGGGAGGUUGAGGUGUUGGAAACCUUGAGGAAGGGUAAAAAAGGCCACCACAGACAGCAAAUCACCUAGACACAUUACAGAGCACACUCCUAAACCUUGAGGUGUAUCACCUUAGACUAAAAGACUAAGAUGUCCUUGUAUACUGUAACAUUAACUGUAUCCUUCCAUGGAAAUAUCUAAACUCCAUCAUUUUGCUCAUAUACUGGAUGUAAUGGUCAAAUUUUCCACAAACGUUUCAUCGUAUAGUGUAAUAUGUGUGUGCUAGCUGCAGGUUCCUCCAUAAAGGACCCACCAUCCUCAACUGAAUGAGCAGCCCGAGCAACACUGUCAUCUACAGUAGACACCUGAGCGCAAAUUUAAAAAAAUUAAAAGUUAAACAAAAUAUUCCCCUUGUUUCCUUACGAGAUUAUUAAACCAGAUGGACAUUUGACCUCUUCUGUUACCUUGUGACCACCCUGAAUACUCUCAAUUUCCUUACAACCGACCUGAUUAUGAGAAGGAGUUGAGAUCCAUUUGGUUGCUAGAUACACAACAGAAAGUUGCUUCUAGACACUUUCAAACAUGAGGUCCAAAAUAUCUGUCUCUAUUGCUUAUAGGCAACAGGCGCACUUUAAUUUUACUUGAACUAGUUAAAAAAAUAUAAAAAAAUAAAUAAAAAUGAAAGAAGGGUUUUUCUCAUGUACUGGUCUUUUGCCUUUUUCCGUGUUUGCCUUGUUACGUGUUGAACAUGUGAAAUAGUUCAUAGUGAAUUUUCUGUCUUGUAAAAUAGAACAUAUACAAUGAAUAUUCUUGAUUGUAUACUUUGGAUAUCUGUAUACUACUGAGAACCACUUGGAUUUUCCAAGUUGAUACACAACGAAAAAAAAGUCUCUACGCAAAUGCCGGCCAUUUUGAAUUUAUCAUACUCCAGUUUUUUGUUUUUUUAUGUUCAUGAAAAAUCACACACACUAAAAGAACAUUGUCUAAAAUUUGCAAAAGGAAUGUUAUAGUGAACAUGGUAUUAAUAUUGUAAGUGGUUUAUUAGACUUUGUGAUUUGUAUGUCAGAGGCAUAGGAAUUAAAGGUACCUAUGUCAUUCGGUUGCUCAUUUCCAAUCAGUAUAUAGUUCACAAAUGAUUUUAAAUUUGGGGUAAAAAUUCUAUGCAAUUUUGUGGCAUGGUGUUUCUUCCAGCUGUAACUUUGUGCUUUCAUCACAGAUCCAAAGGACAAAUAAAAUUAUUAACACAAAAA